UGACUGGAGUUGAGUCGUGUGUGCUUAUGAAGGCCAUCGAAGAAUCGUGCAUCGCAAUUAUCGUUUUCUCUGAGAAUUACACUUCCUCAUGGUGGUGCUUGGAAGAGGUGGCCAAGAUUAUGGAGUGCAAUGCACAAAAGGUCAUCACCGUUCGACCGGUGUUUUAUAAAGUUGACCCAAAAGAAGGGGAG